GUGCCAGCCGCCGCGGCAAUACGGGGAGGGCAAGUGUUGCUCGGAUUUACUGGGCUUAAAGGGUGUGUAGGCGUCCCGGUAAGUCUCUGGUGAAAGCCUUCCGCUCAACGGAAGAAUUGCCAGAGAUACUGUCGGGAUUGAGUCCGGGAGAGGGGAGCGGAAUUCCUGGUGUAGCGGUGAAAUGCGUAGAUAUCAGGAAGAACGCCAGAGGCGAAGGCGGCUCCCUAGCCCGGUACUGACGCUGAGGCACGAAAGCGUGGGGAGCGAACGGGAUUAGAUACCCCGGUAGUCCACGCCCUAAACGAUGGAUGCUAGGUGUUGGAUCCGAGAGGAUUCAGCGCCGAAGCUAACGCGUUAAGCAUCCCGCCUGGGGACUACGGCCGCAAGGCUGAAACUUAAAGGAAUUGGCGGGG
rnacentral:rRNA from 1 species